rnacentral:rRNA from 1 species
UACGUAGAAGACUAGUGUUAUUCAUCUUUAAUAGGUUUAAAGGGUACCUAGACGGUAUAAUUAGUCUUUAACAGGAAACGGUUAUACUAGAGUUAUAUAUGAGGAGGUGAGUAUUUGUGGAGUAGAGUUGAAAUUCUUUGAUACCAUGAAGACUGGUAAAGGCGAAAGCAACCUUUUAUCUAAUAACUGACGUGAGGGACGAAGGCUCGGGUCGCGAACAGG